rnacentral:lncRNA from 1 species
UGUUUAGUUGUUGAUAGACCUUUAUUUUAUUUAUUUAUAUGUGUGCAGAGAACCAAACCUAGUGCCUCACACAUGCCAGGUAAGUGUGCUACCGCUGAGCCACAGCCCCAGCCCUCCAUUCAUUUCUAGCUGUGUGAUUUGGGAAAGUUUUUGAAAGUUUGUUUUGUUGGUGCUGGGGAUUGACCCAGGGUACUGGGUAUGCACACACUGUACCACUGAACUUCAUCCCCAGGGGCAAAUUAUUGAGUCCUUCCGUAAGAGAAUUGAUACAACCUCACCUGGUAGCUGGAAGUUUAAAUUAAGCAAAUGGGACCUUGUGCCUGACAUUUGGUACUUGUAUAUUAGCUUCUAUUGUUGAGGCCCAGAGCACCAACCCCACAAAUCCGGCACCUUGGUGUGCUGAAUACUUUGGACUGAAGAAACCGAAAAGGCCUGAUCAAGGUCUUUCUGAUCUCAGGUCUUCCUGUCUCACCUCUCUUACUCCUUUGGAGGGAAUUCUGCAAACCAGAAUUCCUCUUCCCUAAAGUGGGUCAUAGAGACUAGAACCCCACUUCCCUAAAGCCAGCCAUAAAAUCCUAGAAAUAUUACUCAAAUCUACUUUUUUUUUUUUUGGUGUUUUGGGAAUUGAACUCACACAUGCUAGGCAAGCACUCUACCACUCAAGUACCCCCCAAGCCUGGUUCUUCUACCUUUUGGGGCAGGAACUGACCAUAAAGGAAUUCCACAGCCUACCUUGUCUGAUAGCCCCUCAUUUCAGAGGGGCCCUGACCCAUACCCUGGGGAAAGAAGGAGUGCUGUGCAGAAAAGCCUAGAAAGAAACUGGCAGGGCUUGCUGAGUCCCCCUCUCAGUCUGUCACCACUAGGUUAGACUCUCUGUGCAACCACUUUUCUUCAUGGCUGUCCAUUCCUCACUGGACCCAAGCAUAAAAAUAACCAGUUUUCCAGGGUCUUUGGAAUCUUCAUUUCUGAAGGCUCCUGUGUUGCGUAAAACUUGGCUUAAAUAAAUCUGUUAUGCUUUUGUCUUGUGAACCAAUGAUUCGUUACAGGAGAUAUUCGCUGUGACCCUCAUGGUGGGUGAGGAGAGGGACCAUCCUUUCUUAUCCCCAUUCUCUUUUUAAAGGAUAGUACUCAGAAUGAAGGGACAUAUGCUGGGUAUGGUGGUACAUGCCAUCAAUCCCAGGGACUCCGGAGGCUGAGGCAGGAGGAUGACAAGUUUGAGGCCAGCUUCAGCAACUUAGUGAGACCCUGUCUCAGACUAAAAAUAAAUAAAUAAAAAGUGAUGGGGAUUUAGCUC